GAUGAACGCUGGCGGCGUGCUUAACACAUGCAAGUCGAACGGGAUCGGCUGGAGCUUGCUCCGGCCGUGAGAGUGGCGAACGGGUGAGUAAUGCGUGACCGACCUGCCCCAUACACCGGAAUAGCUCCUGGAAACGGGUGGUAAUGCCGGAUGCUCCAGUUGGAUGCAUGUCCUUCUGGGAAAGAUUCAUCGGUAUGGGAUGGGGUCGCGUCCUAUCAGGUAGUCGGCGGGGUAACGGCCCACCGAGCCUACGACGGGUAGCCGGCCUGAGAGGGCGACCGGCCACAUUGGGACUGAGAUACGGCCCAGACUCCUACGGGAGGCAGCAGUGGGGAAUAUUGCACAAUGGGCGCAAGCCUGAUGCAGCGACGCCGCGUGCGGGAUGACGGCCUUCGGGUUGUAAACCGCUUUUGACUGGGAGCAAGCCCUUCGGGGUGAGUGUAC
rnacentral:rRNA from 1 species